rnacentral:rRNA from 1 species
CCUUGUCGGGUAAGUUCCGACCCGCACGAAAGGCGUAACGAUUUGGGCACUGUCUCAACAACAGACUCGGUGAAAUUGUAAUUCCGGUGACGAUGCCGGAUACCUGCGACAGGACGGAAAGACCCCAUGGAGCUUUACUGUAGCUUGACAUUGGGUCUUGGUACUACAUGUACAGGAUAGGUGGGAGGCUUUGAAACCAGGACGCCAGUUUUGGCGGAGCCAUCCUUGGGAUA